rnacentral:rRNA from 1 species
UACGAAGGGGGCUAGCGUUGUUCGGAAUUACUGGGCGUAAAGCGCGCGCAGGCGGCUAUCCAAGUCAGUGGUGAAAGCCCGGAGCUCAACUCCGGAACUGCCAUUGAAACUGUUUAGCUGGAGUAUGAGAGAGGUGAGUGGAAUUCCCAGUGUAGAGGUGAAAUUCGUAGAUAUUGGGAAGAACACCGGUGGCGAAGGCGGCUCACUGGCUCAUUACUGACGCUCAUGCGCGACAGCGUGGGGAUCGAAACAGG